AGUGAACGCUGGCGGUAGGCCUAACACAUGCAAGUCGAACGGCAGCACAGUAAGAGCUUGCUCUUACGGGUGGCGAGUGGCGGACGGGUGAGGAAUACAUCGGAAUCUACUUUUUCGUGGGGGAUAACGUAGGGAAACUUACGCUAAUAACGCAUACGACCUACGGGUGAAAGCAGGGGAUAUUCGGACCUUGCGCGUUUGAAUGAGCCGAUGUCGGAUUAGCUAGUUGACGGGGUAAAGGCCCACCAAGGCGACGAUCCGUAGCUGGUCUGAGAGGAUGAUCAGCCACACUGGAACUGAGACACGGUCCAGACUCCUACGGGAGGCAGCAGUGGGGAAUAUUGGACAAUGGGCGCAAGCCUGAUCCAGCCAUACCGCGUGAGUGAAGAAGGCCUUCGGGUUGUAAAGCCCUUUUGUUGGGAAAGAAAAUCAGCAGGUUAAUACCCCGCUGUUCUGACGGUACCCAAAGAAUAAGCACCGGCUAACUUCGUG
rnacentral:rRNA from 1 species